rnacentral:miRNA from 1 species
UUUCUUUAAAAAGUUCCUAACUUCCUGUUUCAUUGACCAAUAAAAUUUUAUAUUUUAUUUUUGAGCGAUCUGAUUGGUCAGUGAAACAGGAAGUUAGGAACUUUUUAAGGAAC